rnacentral:misc_RNA from 1 species
GCACAACAAGAAGACUGUCCAAGUUAGUAAAUUGGACGUGGUCUCGUGCCCAGCAAAGAAGAAUGAUUUGCAAUUUUCCAUGAUUUCCUUCAUGUUCAACUUUGAAGUAAUUUUGGUGUCAUCAGCUAUUGUUUCUGAAGAUUCAAUCAUUAUACCAAGAAGAUCAUCUCCAUAACAACCAUCUGUCCUAGCUUUUGCCCUCAUUCUACUUUCUAUGAUGCCCUUCAAUGAGUUCUCUAGCUUCCUGUUUAGCUUCCACAUCUGAAUAUUCGAUGGAGUAGGCAGAUACUGGCUACCGGGGAUGAAAAUAUCAGUAAUUGAAGCAACACAACAUUUUUGAAGCUCUCUUAGUGCUUUAAAGGCUUCUCUUCCCUCCAUGUAACUACUGCCAAAGGCAGUGUGGGCAAUGAUAUCAGCCGUAAGCUUCUGAAAAUUUCCAUUCAUCUCUAUCUUGAUACGUUGAUCGGCAGCCACUCCAGCCAGAUUUUUCCACUCAUCAAGCAUUGAAAUUGUGCAUUCAGCCAUUUUCUUUAUCAUAAUCUGCUAGGCAAAAAACCAGUGAACGUAAAACUUAAGGAAAAAAUAUAUCUACACAAGUUUACGAUAAAGAACUAAUGAUCAUGGAUGGUAGAGAGAAUAAAAGGACUAGCUAUUAAUUAAAUUAAGAAAGAAAGUUUGAGACCUUAAGUUUGUCAAUGGAGAAAGCAGGAUUGAGAACCCUUCUGUGCCUAACCCAGUCUAGUCCUUGAACGAGAAUCAAUCCAUACCCGGUGAGAUAUCGUAUUGAAGGCCUAGACUUGGGUUUCUCAUAGAAGCCGAACUUGUUUGAGAGUAUUUGCUUGGCCAGCUCUGGGUUUGUUAUUGUGAUUCUUGGUUGUGUACCAUGCCAAUACAGCAGUGUGUCACCUGUAACGAUAAAAAUUACCCAUCUCAGAUAAAGCUGAUCGGUGGCAAAAUUUAACAAAGGAAAAGGAAAGGGAUAAAAAAUUUCACAAAAGAAGAUGAAAAUUAAAACAUUAUAACAAUAUUUGAAAAAAUUAAAUUAAAUAAUUAAAAAAAAAGAGAUAAUUUUACGUAAAUGAGUGAAGGGUAGACCUGGGUCCUAAGCCCGAUUCCGGUUGACUUAAAAAAAGAUGAACAGGAAUUGAAACAGCUAUCUCUCAAGGUUUUGAUUUCGAUUUCAAUUUGAUUUGGUCCAUUUCAAAUCCAUCUCAAGGUUUUUUUUUUUUACAUUUUAUAUCCUUAUCAAAUCAAAAGGUUAUUUUGCCAAGUGUAGAGCUUUUUUAUGACUUUUUAAUUUCAUUUUCACUUUAUAAUUUUAUUUAUCAGAAAAUUGUAUUCAUCUUAAUUAUCAUUUAUUAAUGUAAGUUUUAUAGUUACUUUUUUUAAAUAAGAAUUUUUUUAUGUCAAUUUUAUAAUCUACAUAAAACUAACUUGUUUAAAGUUUAGAAUUGUCCCUUUUAAUAAUAUUUUCUUCAAAAAUCUAGCAUGAGUUCUCUCUUAAAAGCGUAAUGGCAAUACAUAUUGGUUAUUUUUUUAUAUUUUAUUUCUCUAUUAUUUAAGGUGAUUAUGCAGAAAGUAAAAUUCAAAAUCACCCCAACGUCUUGGUUGUGUAGAUGUGAAUUUCAUAAUGGCAAUAUAAUGGGGUGGCCCAUAAUAUGCUUGCUUUAUGUUUUUUCAGCACAGAUUGCUUUUUUUCCCCUGCUUUUGAAUACAACUCAAUUAAAAAUAUUAACUAAAAUGUUUUUUAUUUAUCAAUUAAGAAUAGUUUAAUUAAUCAUCUUCCAUUGUUAAAGGUGCAAAGAAUAAAUACGUUUCUAAUUAAAAUAUCUCAAUUUAUUUAUUUUGAGGUUAAUCGCCAAUUUAAAUAGUUCAUAAAGUGUUUAAACAAGACAUCAAGUAUUUGGAUAAUUCACAAAGCAUUCAGAUAAGAUAUCAGGUGUUCAGACAAUUUAUAAGGUGUUCGGAUAAAAUGACUGUUCAAUUAAAGGAUAAGUAUGUAUUCGGACAAAGAAGAAUGAUCAGGUAUGAGUCAGUUAUAUGAUAAAAGUAUAUCCUAUAAAAUAUAUUAAGUGACACCUUCGUAAAGAGUGAAAGGAAAUGAGCUAGUGAAAUUUCCAUUAAAAUAGAAGAUGUAUUGUCCUCUACUCUAUAAAUAUAGUUCACAUUAAUAUUCAAGAUAUGUUAUUCUAUCCUUCUUCUACUAUGUAUAGUAUUUGUUAUUUCUCUUUGACAUUUACUGAUUUGAGCGUCAGAAUAGUUUCAUUCAGACCACUGACUUCACCUUUUUUUUUUCUUAUUACAAGCAGCAUUCUGAUCAAUCACCGAUCUAAAAACCUCUAACAACAUCAUCACAAAUUUGAAAACACCACCAUACUAUUAAAUUAAAGCGUAUUAUUAAUUUAAGAAAAAUGUUAAUUAAUUACUUGUAAUUAAGAAAGCAAACAUGCAAAAUUGAAGUAGCUAAGAGAAGUAAAGAUGUGUAUGAAGAAAAUAAAACUGACCGUAUUGGGAGGACCAUUUGUGAUAGUGUGGGAGAAUUCUGCGAGUGAUAUCAUUGGAAUUUGUAUCUAAAACCGUUUCUGUUGCAAGCUUCUUCAGCUCCUUGAUCUCCUCAAGGGAACCAUGAAGGAGCUUGUAAGAUGGUCCUCUGAUUCCUUGCUUCUCAAAGGUUUUAGUCAGGACAUAUGGCCUCCACACCACAAUCUUAAACACCUGCCAAAUCUUUCUACUAAUAACAACAAUUACCAGAACCACCAAAACAACACCUACAUAACCCAUUGUCAAAGGACAAGUAUUUGUAUUUGUGGUGAAGCUAAA